rnacentral:rRNA from 1 species
UACGUAGGAUGCAAGCGUUGUCCGGAAUUAUUGGGCGUAAAGAGCGCGCAGGCGGCCCAUCAAGUCAGAUGUGAAAUAACCAGGCUUAACCUAGUGGGGUCAUUUGAAACUGGCGGGCUAGAGUCCAGCAGAGGAUAGCGGAAUUCCCGGUGUAGUGGUGAAAUGCGUAGAUAUCGGGAGGAACACCAGUGGCGAAGGCGGCGACCUGGGCCAAUAUUGACGCUGAGGUGCGAAAGCGUGGGGAGCAAACAGG